AAUAGAUGCUCAGAUGCAGGAAACUUGGCUUGUAGUGGAAAGCACUGAUGCCAAUUCAGCUGACCAGGUUGUUGGUUUUGUCUCAUGCUGUGCCUUCUAACAUCAGGCAACAAAUUCCCUUGGGAAAGAUCCUGAAGAUUAACAUUUAUCAUGUUGAGAUUUGGGCAGCACCUCAUCAAGCCCUCGGUGGUAUUCCUGAGGACGGAGCUCUCCUUUGCCCUUGUGAACCGGAAGCCAGUGGUCCCAGGGCGUAUCCUUUCAACCAGAGCCUCAGUCAGGAGUGCGUAUGGGCCGCUCAGCGUUCUGUGGAAAAGAGGGAGGCACUCUUUGCGUUCUGAAGGCCAGGUAGGAUGUUAAUCAGAUUUAUUCUGAAACCAGUCAGUGGAACGUAAUACGCUUGAUCGAUGUUGCAGAACUUCUGAAAACGGUUGCUUAGCGACGGUGACCUUAGAGGUGAAUUUCUAUUGACCUUUUCACCACAGAAGAUGUAUAAACAACCAGGUGCUACUAAAAGCGUUUUUAAGUGCAUCUGAG
rnacentral:lncRNA from 1 species